CAGGUUAAACUUUAUUAGUACAAAAACAAUGUGUGACAGCACAGUCUUAGUAGCACUGUUGCCAUUACGAAGAAUGAAAUCUAAUACCUUUAUGUAACUUUUUAUACAUAAGCACUUAAAAGACAAACUUUUUGGUAAAUAGGUUGUGAGAUGAAAAUUUGAUCUUAACUUAUCUAUGCAGGUUCUAGGUUGCUCAAUGUGGUUUGCUGAUUUUUUAUUUGUGGCAAGAAAUUGGGCUAAAGAUGAACAAACACGGAAGUGCUUAAGAGGUCAGCGGAAGACUUCUGCUUUUGCUUCUCCCAGAGUGACAGGGAAUUCUGGUGGAUCAGCCGAUAGGUUUUAAGAGUGAAAAAAACCAGAGAGUUUUAAGAGUGGAAAAAAAUGCAGAAUGAAUCACUCUAAGGAUUGCAGGGCUGUUAGUGCAUGUUUCGGAAAUUGGAGGUUUGCAAAUAUUUGUGGCUAACUAUGAAAGAAUACUCAUGGAGUGCUGACUGGAUUUGUACAGAAGAGUUUUAGGUUUUGAGUGUAGAAGCAAUGUGUACCUGCUUUUUCAUGCAUGUUGAUGUAUGGGAGCUUUUACUUGCUACAGGUGAAUUAGAGUUUUAGGGCCUAAGUAAGUUGUCACUUAACAAUCCCUGAGAGUGAGAAGGCUCUACACGAGUUUUACGGAUAUGCCUUGCAUCUUAUUGUAUUAUGUAUAGACACUAGGUUUUAUUCACCAUCUCAUCGAUGUACCCGGUUCUAUAGAGUAGCUUAGUUUUGCAGUAGUACAUUAGUUGCACUUAUAUUAACUGCACUGACCAAUAUGGGUUUUUUUGUCAUCAGGUCUAUUGCACAAUCCAAUUGGAAUUGGUUCUGGUUGUUAGUUUUACUUGAUUGUCAGAGUCUUUGCAGGCAGGUAGCACAACCUUGGUAUGCUCACAUCAUGAAUAUAUCAAAAUCAGUCUUAAAGUCAUUACAGGUACCGCAUCUUUGGUGUGUCAUGCUAUGCUCAUGAGUAUGAUGAAACAGAAAGGAAAUGCAACAUCUUAAAAGCAUGGUAGGAAGUUUACCUUUGAUUUGAGCUGCUGGCCAUGCUUAACAGUCCGGUCUUCAACCGUGCUGAGUGAAGGAGAUUCAUUGACAUGGGGGGCCUUCUGAAACAUUGGAAAUGGGCAGAGGCUGAAAACUUUGGGUGUCAGGCUGUGUUUGAAGUGGGGAGUCAUGCCUCAAAUAUAAAUUUUGGUGUCCUUAGUGAAAGUUGAAGCAAAACAUUGGAAAUUUGAGUUGUUCUUCAUAAUGCCUAUUAAGUUCACGAGAUCUUGCGAAAGAAAUGGGAGAAGGAAGGUAUGUACGCUCUUGUCAUGAAUAGAUCAAAAUGAGUCUUGUGGUCAUUUAAGGGAGAGCAGCAAUUGAGGUUACAAAUGAAGGUGUUGAUGCUGCAGGGCAUACAAUUGGUACAUCUUUGGAGGUCAUUUCCAACUUAGAGGAAGGUUCUCAACCCCAAGAGUACCACACCUUUAGCUAGUGAUGCUGGUUUCCUUUGCUGUGAUAAUGUCAGACUUGAGGCCCUUAGAGGGAUUUGUCAUCGUCUCAGUUUUAUUCGAUACAACAUCUUGCCCUCAUACACCUUCACAAAAUGGGGUAGCCAGACGUAAAAAUAUGCAUCUUGUAGUAACCGCUUGGACCUUACUUCUCUAUGGUAAUGUUCCAUUCUGGUUAUGGGGGAUAUUAUGCUAAUAUGGCAUGUUACCCUAUAAACCUCAUGCCCUCGUCUGUCCUUAACAACAAUAUCCCUCAUUUAAUUUUGUUGUUUCCUUAUUCCCCCUUCACCCAAUUCCUCCUCGUGUCUUCGAGUCUACAAUAUUUGUUAAAGUAAAUGCUCGUGACGGUGACGGUACGGUGAUCGCCCAUGGUUCUCUUUCUCUCUCUUCCAGUGAAUAGGAUAUAUAUAGGUAUCAUAACCUGUGCCACUACUGGACUUAACCUACACCACACACACUAACUAACUACACGUUAGUUAUGAUGACAUGGCACUCUAGAAUAUACACUAAUACUCCCCCACAAGUUCAAGGUGGCUGCAAAGUCAGGCUUGAGGCAGACAAGUUGAGCUUGCUUCUGAGCUCCAGAAAUCUUGAACUUCAAAGACUUCCCAUAAAGGAAAGUAUGUACGCUCUUGUCAUGAAUAGAUCAAAAUGAGUCUUGAGGUCAUUACAGGGAGAGCCAACCGUUGAGGUUACAAAUGAAGGUGUUGAUGCUGCAGGGCAUACAAUUGGUACAUUUUUGGAGGUCGUGUUCAAACUUAGGAAGGUUCUCAACCCCAAGAGUACCACACCUUUGCUAUGACCAUGUCAGUCUUGAGGUCCUUAGAGGUACCACACCUUUGCCGUGUCAUACUAUGUUCAUGAGUAUGAUGAAACAGAAAGGAAAUGGUAGGAAGUUUGGUUUGCUGUGAUCGGUUCCAUGAGAUUUAGAAAGUGAUGCAGGGACGCCUUUGAUCAUGCUCAACAAGCUGCUAGAGUUUUCAAGAACAGAAGCAGCCUGCGGUCUACCCUAUUGGAAGCACCAUCCGUUCUUCAACCCAACUACGAGUGGAUGAGUGUCAUUGACUCGGGCCUGCUGGAACAUUGGAAUUGGCAGAGGGUGAAAAUGUUUGGUGACAACUGGUUCCUAGUGAUUCGGUUAAUCGAAGAUGAAGCAAACGAUGGAAAUUGU